rnacentral:rRNA from 1 species
UACGGAGGGUGCGAGCGUUAAUCGGAAUAACUGGGCGUAAAGGGCACGCAGGCGGGCUUUUAAGUGAGAUGUGAAAUCCCCGGGCUUAACCUGGGAAUAGCAUUUCAGACUGGGAGUCUAGAGUACUUUAGGGGGGGGUAGAAUUCCACGUGUAGCGGUGAAAUGCGUAGAGAUGUGGAGGAACACCGGUGGCGAAGGCGGCUUCCUGGUCUGUGACUGACGCUGAGGCGCGAAAGCGUGGGGAGCAAACAGG